rnacentral:rRNA from 1 species
CCCGCCUUGUUUAACAAAAACAUGUCCUGUUGGUGUUUUAUUUCAGGUCUGGCCUGCCCACUGAUGUAAAUUAAAGGGCCGCAGUAUUUUGACUGUGCGAAGGUAGCAUAAUCAUUUGUCUUUUAAUUGUAGGCUUGUAUGAAUGGUUUGAUGAGAUAUUAACUUUCUUUAUUUUAAAUANUGAACUUAAUUUUUUAGUUAAAAAGNUAAAAUUUUUUUAUGGGNCGAGAAGACCCCAUAGAAUUUUAAUAUAUUUAGUUUUUAUUAUAUUUGGGAAUUUAUUAUUUUAAAAAAUAAUUAUAUUUUUGUUGGGGCGACAGGGAAAUUUUAUUAACUUUCUUUAUUUAAUAAAUUAUUAAUUAGUAUUUUAAUGAUCCUAUAUUAUGGAUACCAAGAUUAAAUUACCUUAGGGAUAACAGCGUAAUUUCUAUGGAGAGUUCUUAUCGAUAUAGGAGUUUGCGACCUCGAUGUUGGAUUAAAUUAAGAUUUUGGUGUAGCAGCUAAAUUUCUAGGUCCGUUCGCCCAUNGAAUAUUUAAA